rnacentral:lncRNA from 1 species
UGGCAGUUUGUGGUGGCAAAAGCUCAGGAGAAGGUAGAGGAAUGGCGACAACAGGCAUUUGUUUUAUCAAGAACAAUCCCGCCUCAAGAUGCCGUGCUUCAGGGGGCGCUGCAGAUUGUGGGAGACUUUAGCCAACAGCUACCUGUGCUUGCUGAACUCAGCAGUCCAGCACUGAAGAGCAAGCACUGGAAAAACAUAUUUAAAGGUAUGGGACUGCUAUACGCCCCUGCGUGGAAUCUUACUGUGGCGGACCUCGUGUCAAAAAAGCUAUUGGAGCAUCAAAAAGCAAUCAAAAAGAUCUCCAGAGAUGCUAAAGCGGAGGCAGAUAUGGAGCAAGUUUUCCGGAAGAUUCAGCGGAGCUGGGAGGGGGCUCUUUUCCAUCUUGCAAAGUUCAUAAUCACUGUGUGGGAAGAAGAGAAACCGCAGAUGGGGAAUUUCCGAAAGAAGAAGCCCUCUAUCACACAGCAAUCUUGUGACAGUGGCACAUUCACCAUAAUUGGUCUGGACACACUCCAUUCUGAAACAGAGGACAGUGUAAUGACCUUUUCAAACAUGCUGCUCUCUCCUCAUGUGGCUGAUGUCAGACAGGACGUGGA